GGCGUUGGCAUUUGGCAAUGACACUAAAUUCAUCGCUGGAAUCUAAGUUACAAAGUGCAGCACCCCUUGGGGAGGGUUGAUUAAAGCAUGGUUUAGAGAGUUGCCAUGUGGGGUGCUUGACUGCUGCAAUAAUCGGUUCAAGAAAAUGCUAUCAUUUCGGCUUUAUCGGAGUAUGCUUCUAAUGGUCCCAUGUAGUAUGUUAAUUCAGAUCCUUUGGUCUCUGUAGAGAAUCCUGCUGGUGAAGUCGACACGGAUGCUAAACCGUUUAAAAGGCACUCUGCACAACGGUCACGAGUACCGGAGUACGUAAACUUCAGUAUAUAGCAGAACUGGAAAGAACUGCUGAGAAUUAUCAGAAUAUUGUGUCAAAAUUGGUUGUUAGAGUUAAAUCAUUAGGUGAGCUGCGUGUUUAUAUGUCAAUAGAAAACAAGCAACUUAAACAGCAGUUAUGGUAGGCUGCAGCAGGAAAAGUUUGUCAAAGAACGUUCAAUCCGAACCUGAAAAUCGUGUCAUACAUAUGAACCCGAAC
rnacentral:lncRNA from 1 species